rnacentral:sRNA from 1 species
CAUUUUCAGUAAAGAAGUCCUGAGUAAACACGUUGUCGUUGAAUACCGCUUCUCUGCCGAACCUUAUAUUAGUGCCUCAUGCAGUAAUGUCUCAGUUUUAUCUCAGUUAAUGCCUGCGGGCUAAGAAAACACUCUAAGGAAUUUUGCAAAAUGGCAAAGAUUAAAGGUCAAGUUAAGUGGUUCAACGAGUCUAAAGGUUUUGGUUUCAUUACUCCUGCUGACGGCAGCAAAGACGUGUUCGUACACUUCUCUGCAAUCCAGGGUAACGGCUUCAAAACUCUGGCUGAAGGCCAGAACGUUGAGUUCGAAAUUCAGGACGGCCAGAAAGGCCCAGCUGCAGUUAACGUAACUGCUAUC